AGUUCAAUGAGCAUUUGUGAAGGGCCAGCCAGGCACCAGGCUCUAUGGGAGGUCCUGAGUGGGUGAGAGGACACAAAUGUGGAUGACAGGUUGGAAAUAUUUUUGCAAUACCACUGAAUCCUCCAGUUUUUACCCCUUAUGAUGGGAAGUGAAUACAGUAUGAAAAGGGAGUGGGACAUAUGAGAGGAACGACAGGCUCAAAAUAUGAUGACUUAAUCCAGACACCUCUGUGUCUCUGAACUUGCGUUGUUUCUUCUUUGGAGGUGAAGUACACAUCGUUUUACUCCUGGCAGAGGACUUGUGCUCCUUUUGAGAACUUUCAGCUCUGUAGUGUCGAGUCUUCUGGUUUCCAGAGCCACAUCCUGCCCUGGGGGAAUUGACAUCCAUCAGAUGAAAAUACUGAGACCCAGACUGAUGAGGUACCUUGCUGUAGGUCCUGCUAUUAGAGGAGACAGGAGUAAAGACAAACAAUGGAACAAACACAAGUGUGUAACGUGUAUAAGUGAGUAUGUGUGGUGAGAGGAGGGUAGUGAACAAAGCAGAGAUAAAAUCAGGUUGACUGAAACCAAGAAGGCAGUCUGGGAGUAGUUGUGUAGGUUGGAAAUGGGAGAGGGAAGAAGGACCUAUUAUACAGAAGGUUUUAAAAGCCAGGUAGUGGGGGAGGGGUUGGGGGAGGGAGAACAUCAGGAAGAAUAGUUAAUGGAUGCUGGGCUUAAUACCUAGGAGAUGGGAUGAUCUGUUCAGCAAACCACCAUGGCACACGUUUACCUAUGUAACAAACCUGCACAUCCUGCACAUGUACCCCUGAAUUUAAAAGUUGGAAAAAAAAAAGAUAAAAAAAACCUAGGUAGUAGGACUCAUUACUGAUAAAACAAACAAUAAUGAGUCCCUACAGCUAAAGUUUGGGUCAGGGGAAAUACAAAAUGAGAGUAGUGCUUGAAGAGUCAAAUGAUAGAAAUAAUAACCUAGAGUAGAAGAAAGUGUUGAGAAACUAUCUCAGUAACUCAAGUCAAGAGGAACCACAGCUAGGAUUCUAGGGAAGGUUGAAAGUGGAAAUGGCAUAUCUCAGAUGAACCUUUUCUUAGAAAGAAAUCUGCAAAGAAAUAAGAUGACUUAAAGGCUACUGAAGAAAUAAAGAGAAAGUAGAGAGAAGAAUAAAAGAUAAUGCUAAGAUUUUGAAGAUGAAAUAUCCUCCAUCUCAGUAAAAUAAAAUAGAAUUGAGAGAUCUGAGAGAUGGUAUCUAGAGGUGUUAAGGAGCAUGGACUUUCCAAUCAGACAGGCCUGAGUUUGAAGCCUGGCUCUGAUACCUAACAAUAGGUGCAAUACCACAUAAGUGAUUUCACUUCUCUGAGCCCGUUUCCUUGGCCAUAUACUGGGUAUAAUAGUGGUACCUCCCUCACAGGGGUGUUAUGUGAAAUAUCUAAUGUUUGGAAAGGUAUUAGCAUAGUUACAGUCACCUUUAUGCUCCUUGUUCUCACACCAAAUAUCCAGUCCAUCUGAACAUCCCACUGAGACUACCUUAAAAAACAAAAAGCAACCCUCAAUUCUCAGCCCACUUUCUCCUCUGCGCAAGCAAUCAUAAUUUCUCGCUUGAAUCACUACAGUCUUCUUCCUGCACUUUCCAGUCUUGCCACCUUCCCCCACCACCAAUCUAUUCUCCACAUAGCAGUCAGAGAGAGCAUUUAAAAUAUAGAUCAAAUUACAUCACUUUGAUUAUUUAAAUCCUUUAAUGGCUUCUCAUCUUAUAAUGUUCUACAAGAUCCUUUAUACUCUAGCUCCUAUCUACCUCACCAGCAUCAUCUCCUACUAUGCUGUCCCUCAUUCAGCCUGCUCUGCGGCCCUGGCACUUGUUCCCUCUGUCUGGGACAUUCUUCCCCCCAUGCAACAUGGCCUCCCUCCUCAAGUCUCCACUCAGAAGUAACCUCUUCAGAGACCAUCCUUCACUACCCUAUCCUUCACAGCAGCACCCCUACCUCAAAACCAAGUUGUCAACUUUCCCCUUACCUUUACUUUGUUUUAAAUCCAAAACACCUGGCAUUACAGUCAAUAUUGGUUUAUAUGUUGACUGUCUGUCUUCCACUGGUCUUUAUCCAAUUUGUUUAUUGUUGUAUACUCUGCUCAAGGUGAGUUCUCAACAAAUGUCAGUGAAUAAAUGAAUGAAUGAGCGAGUAGCAUAUUACCAAUUUUUAAAAGCAACCUGGAUUAUUAAGUAAUGUGGAAAAUAAUGGAUGUUUAACAAUGGUUCUAGGGUUCCUGAACUUCUAGAGAUCUUGGAAGGCAGCAAUGAGGAAUCCAGUAGCUAUUUUAUGAGUUUCUAAAUGUCUAGUAAAAAGCAAACCUUUACUCACAAGAAGAAUUAAUAAUAUAACUAAAAUGUUAAGCUUCUAUGCUUUAGAAAAAAAUUACUAUCAACUCAAUACAGUAACUCCGGUUGAUUCAUGCUGAUCAGAAGUUAUUGAGUUAUAUAAGUUUUUCACUAAUAAAACUGAAAAUUAAAAUAUGUAUAAUCUCCUACAGCCAAGUAUAUAUGCAACAGAAAUAUACACAAAUUGUUCAACAUGAAAAAUGUACAAGAAUGUUCACAGGAGCACUAUUUGUAAUAGUACAGACUGGAAAACUACCCAAAUGCCCACCAAGGGUGAAAUGGAUAACAUAUGCUAGGUUCAUACCAUGUGGUACUGCACAGCAGUAAGAAUGAACCAUUUCUAACUACGUGUAACAUUAAGAGAUUACUCAGAAAUAAUGCUGAGUGGGAGAAACUAAACAUAUAAGAGUACACACUGUUUGAUUUCAUUUAAAUGAAGCACAAAAACAGGCAAAAAAAAACAAUCUAUGCUGUCAGAAGUCUGGGUAAUGGCUAGCCACUCAGGGUGGGAGAAUGGGAGAGUUAGGGGCUGGAAGGGAGCUAAGGGGGGCUUCUCAAGUGCUAAUAUGUUUUAUUUCUUGAUUAGGGUGCUGACUAUAUGGAUUUUUGUUCAAUUUGUAAAAAUUCAUCAAGAUGUGUACUUAAUAUGGUUGUGCUUUUCUAUAUGGAUAUUAUAUUUCAAUAAAAAGUUUUUU